UCAUCAUGGCCCCUUGGACAUCAGAGCGUAGAUUAUCUACUGUGUGGGGUCUUUGGCUCCCGUUUCUCAUGACUGUCAAGAGGAAGACAAGACUGAGGGUUACUUUGAGUAGAGUUUUGGGGUCAACUGUGCUGCUAUUGUUGGGCUUCCUACAUCUUCAGAACCUGUUGAGCAGGUUUAGGUUCCCUGUAGAAGGCUGGAAUUCAGAUUAAAAGAGGCCUGUUUACCUCCGGACUCCCUGGGACAGCCCCAAGGCUCAGAGCUGCGGCUUCUUCCUGAGGGAGAACAGGAUGCCUUUGUAAGGAGGGGAGAGGCUCCAAGAGGGUAAAGCUGUUGGGGACUGCUCCUAAAAAUCUAGUUUAUGAAUUGACUGGAUGAAACGCUACAUGGUAAACCAAUGAACACAUCUCACAUGCUGAAGUAUUUUUAAGAAGGCUGUCUGGGAAAUCAUGCCACUAUCUUCAGGAGGGGUCAGGAGUGACUUGAAGUGUGGGCAUCUCUUUAAAUCUGCACACCUUGGCUGGGCAUUGGGGACAUGUGCUGUAAGCUAUAAAGAAACAAAGUCCCCCGGGAAAUCGUGCUGGUCAUCCCUUCGAGUGGAGCCCAGAGGCGGGAAAACAUCUGAGCCAAACUUUCUCUUGACUCUGCUCAGAACUCACUGUGGGGUUCUGGGCAUUUCAUUUCCUCACAUGGGCAAUGUUGUGGGCCAUCUUGAUUCCUGGCCCUCCACCUCAAAGAGUAGCCCCCUGCAGUCGCUAAGUAAAGUGCGGAAAGCACACAGUGCAGUCAAUCCAGGCUGCGCUGGCAUCUCUUGGGGAGCCUGAAACCAUGCAUGCCGAUGCCUGAGCUCUAGCCCAAGAGUUCUGGUUAACCGGCCUGAGGAGGGGCCUGGACAUCUGUAUUUUGUAAAAGCCAUCCAGGUGAAUCUUAUAGAGCUAAGGGACCCGAGGUUGAGGACCACUACGCCAGAGUAGUAAGAUGAACACCAGCUCAGCAGCAGCAGCGCAGCCGCCACCACAGCAACCCCGAGAGCACCCGAAACAGUAACAGAGGAGCCAGCCUUGGCUGGGAGAGUGCCAGGAAAGGAAGAUGCUCGCUUGGAUCCAGGCUCCACCUGGCACUGGCUGGGACCACAGACUCACUCUUCAGUCAAUCAGCAGGCUAGCACACAUUUGUUCAGUGCGCGCUGUGUGCUGCACGGGGCAGCGGACGGGGCAUGCGGAGUAACAGGCCCCAGCCUCCCCCGGACACGCAGAGUCAGCAUGACAGAGGUGCGAACCGGAUACAGAGGGCACACAUUCCACCUGGGGUGUGACAGGAAAGACGAAAUAUUAUCGGGGAAGGAGCAGUGGAGGUUGUAGCGGCUGGAUAUCAUUUCAGAAGAACCUGUCAUUUUUCCAGGAGAAGAGACUGUAAGAGGAAAGUCCUGGAGGGUGCAUAGGAUGUUGCUCAUUUAGCGGGAUAAAAGCCAGUCUGCAUGAGAAAUCGCGCAUUCUGAGCACUGCAGGGGCAGUGCUGGAUUUGUUCAAGGCUGAGAAAGGAUGCCUUAUCCCGGCGAUGCGGUUCACGGCAGGGCGAGCGGCAGUGACGGGGUACUGAGCACACACCUGGGAGCCUGAGAUGGGCGACCCUCACUGGCCAACUGAUCCAUCCCACCAGACUGCAGCCUCAGUUUCUCAGCUUGUAAAAGUUAUAUGAUACUUGCUUUAGAAUAAACUCAUGGGAUGUAGAAUUCAAAAUGAUAAAUAUUUUUAUCAAGUUUCUCCCGACCCCCUAACUUUUAGGGAUUUACUUCUCCCCUUGAAAACCAGAAAUAGUGGGAGAAACAAGAGAUGUGACUCUAAUAUUACUUGUCUUUACCAACAAUGUUAAUUUCUCUCUAAGGAGCUGGGCAAGUUACAUUGUAUUUGAUUCCUGACUACUGUCUCUAAACCGAGGAUUCAAAUUGUUAGACUCAAUUCAUGACCUUGUUGGAAAUUUCCAGCAAACCCGCUGCUCAAUCACCUUAACUAGGAGAAAAUAUUUUAUGAUAUAGUGGAAACAAAUGAUAACAGUGUUGAGAGGGACAAGCUUAACACACAGAAUCCAGACUUCACACGUUCACGUGGGGGAGAUAGAAGUCGCGGAGUAGGCUGAUUUCUGAUGGCAACCUGAUUUAAUUUGCAAUAUGACUGCAUCAGUGGCUGCUCAAAAAGCUGUUUCCAACAUUUUGCAUCAAUAUAGCAGCUCUGGGAUCCUGAAGAAAUUUGUAUUUGCUGUCUAAGACCGGAAGGGUGGAGGAAUACAGGUACCCCUAAGCUAAGUAUAUUCGUGAUGAAAGACGAAUAGGUUCAUUACAGUGUUGUUUGUAAUAGGAAAAAUUGGAAACAAUUUAAAUAUGUAAAAUAAUUAAAUAAACAAUGAUACAUUCCUUUAUUCAGAUGCUGUAUGAUAUUUAAAAAUUGAGGAAGAUUGAGGUAUUGACUCAAUGAAAAAUGUCCAUGUGGUAGGAAAUGGGAAUAAUUACAGAAUGAUAUGCAAAUCAUAAUUCCGUCUUGGUAAGAACAAACAAGUCAAUCUAUGUAUACGCUGGAUGUUAGUCCAGGGACUCAGACACACAUACACCUCCUGCAGGCUGGCAGUGUGGGGCGUGCACACGUGCAGGGAUGGGUGAAUUACCAUGGGAGUGGAACAUGAAGAGGCAGGUGGUACACAUCUUCCCUUUCAGACCACUGGAGUAAUUAUAUAUGUAUUUUAAAACAAUAGACAUCUUAUACUUUUGUAAUAAAAAAGAAACAUUACCAACACAAUAGAUGUGUUUCAUCAAAUUAAAUGUGUUAUACUUUAAAACCAGCAUCAAGUUAAGACAUUUUACUUAAGGCUGCUGUGAAAACGUAUGUGUUUCUGAGUCAGGCCGGCGAGCCUAGCCGUUAGGACUUGAUGCUUUUAAGGUCUUUGUGCUCUUGCCCCAACUACUGUGUUCAUUUAAGAGAGUAUACGUCAGCCUUCUAUCUGAGCAGUCCAGCGAUUGAAGCAGUGUAUUUUAGCACUCCAGAAUAACUGUCAUUAGGCGAUCAGUAACUAGCAGCCUAUUACAUUCUAAGCAUGUUUCAAUGCCUGCUGUAAAUGUUUUGACAAUAGCCUCUGUGCACUAAUAACAUUGUGCAUAACAAAGAAUAACAGGUGCAGCCAAAAGGGAGGCAAGUUCCUCCAGGAUGUGUUUUCAAUCUAUCAUGUGUGCCUUGACUUUUCUAAAUGUGUGAAAAUAAUUAUUAUUGCCACUGUGGUGUAAUUGGUCUCUAUGGACAACCUAUGGCGGUGAAAACCUUUUGGAAUAAAGUGAGAAAUCUACCCGGAUGAGUUCAGAAGUCUGUCAAGAAGCACUCUAGUCAAAGCCUGCCCUUCUGGGGGGCCACCCUCUUUCAUCCUGAAGUGAUCCUUCCAUGGUCUUUGUGGGCACGUUAUUAGUGGGCAGGAAAAGGUAAGGAGUGUGAUGGGAAAACAAGAGGCAGGUUUUCCCUUUCAGUGAUCAUAGGCCAGCAAGCCCUCGGAUCGACCCCGUACCCACGCCGACGGAGGAGAAGUGGACACGUGCUCAGUUAGAGAAGAGAACGGCACCUGCAGUCACCUGGGGCCAGAGGAUGUGGCAGACGCAUUUCAGCAGGCUUCUCAGUCCCAACAGGUCUCUCGAGAUGCGGGGCAGGCCCAGAGUCUAUGGGGCAUCUGUGGCAUGACUUGGCUGCUCGCUGCGCAGAGGAAGCGUCAAGCAGUCCCAGCCUCACCUGAACCUUUGGAACCUCCCCCUUGUGAGGCCCAGAGUUCAUCUGCUUCUCCGAGGUGUUUCCUGAACCACAGCCAACCUGAAUCCAGGUUCCUACCUGCUGCGACACAAACCCGGCGUCCUGCGGGUCCUGUUGGUCCAGCUUUGUUGUGGGGAGCCACGGAGCAUCACCAGUGUGAACAGAACAAUGUGCUUGCUCAGGGCUCAGCUGGCAGCAGAGUUUGGGGCAUACGGCGUUAACUACGCUCUUUCUGUGAGAGAGCUGUGUUCUGACUAUGCAGCUGGGUGGCCACCGGGAUUCAAGAUAAAG
rnacentral:lncRNA from 1 species